rnacentral:rRNA from 1 species
UGGGGAAUAUUGCACAAUGAGCGCAAGCCUGAUGCAGCCAUGCCGCGUGUAUGAAGAAGGCCUUCGGGUUGUAAAGUACUUUCAGCGAGGAGGAAGGCGUUGUGGUUAAUAACCGCAACGAUUGACGUUACUCGCAGAAGAAGCACCGGCUAACUCCGUGCCAGCAGCCGCGGUAAUACGGAGGGUGCAAGCGUUAAUCGGAAUUACUGGGCGUAAAGCGCACGCAGGCGGUCUGUCAAGUCGGAUGUGAAAUCCCCGGGCUCAACCUGGGAACUGCAUCCGAAACUGGCAGGCUAGAGUCUUGUAGAGGGGGGUAGAAUUCCAGGUGUAGCGGUGAAAUGCGUAGAGAUCUGGAGGAAUACCGGUGGCGAAGGCGGCCCCCUGGACAAAGACUGACGCUCAGGUGCGAAAGCGUGGGGAGCAAACA